rnacentral:rRNA from 1 species
CCGCGUGGAGGAUGAGCCCCUUCGGGGUGUAAACUCCUUUCGAUCGGGACGAUUAUGACAGUACCGGAUGAAGAAGCACCGGCUAACUCUGUGC